UCCAUAAAUACAUUAAGAUUAGUUUCAUGAGACCUAUUAAGAAUAGAAUUUCUUGUAGGCUUUGUGACCAGGGGAAUUAGCGCUGCUUUCCCAAGACAGGUUUAUAUGUGAUUAUGAUCUUCAGGCUUUGCCUAACCAGGUGGGCUUACUUUCCAAAUGUACAAAGUAUGAUUGAGUUAUUAAGCUCUAAAUGUUUCAAUGAAAUGCAAAUUGUUUAUUUAAUGUAAUGAAAACUGUUUAUCCAAUAAAAUAUUUUGUGCACUCUGCUCUGUUUAAGGCUCGCAUAAGUUAAUCGAUCGAGGUUCUCUUAUGACCUAACACGUUGUUGAGAAUUGUGUACACUUGUUAGCUGUCUCGGUGGGUUGAUCUCCAUCGGGCACUAAUCAUGUAAGAGGCGUUAUAAGGGUGCUUGGCUGGAUGUGUUCCGGAGCAUGUAUCAUGUAAGGCCUGCCUGGGUAGCGUCCCGAGGUCAAUUCAACUUGUCUGAGUUACGUCCUCAGGGCAAGUGCAAUGGGAGAAAUGGAUCCGUCGGUGGCUAAAAGGUCCGGGAUCACAGCGAGUAACAGAAAGGGAGUGUGACAUGUGCGCACAAAUGAAAAAUGUUUUAACAUGCUUAGAAGUUCUUUCAAUUUAAAACCUUCUAAGUUAUGUCAAGUAUGAUUGGAUAAACUGUCUUUAUUAAAAUAUGAAAUGUUUAUGAAAAUGCAUGCCCACUGAGUACAUUAGUACUUAGCCCAAAAAUACUUUCAAAUGUUUUCAGGUUGGCUGGCCGGUGCUGACGGGACUGAGCUGAGGCUAGGGUUCAACUUCCUUUUAAGACUUCCGCUGUAGCAGUAAAUAAUAUUUUGUCUUUUGUUUUCUCAACUUAAGACUUUCAUAUCAGAUUUAGAAUGACAUCUAUGAUUGAGCCUAAGCACUUAACUCCUAGUUUUAUGCUAAUGAAUAUUGGUUAUCAGAAGCAUGAAACAAAACUUGUGAUCCAAAGGGGCCUAG
rnacentral:lncRNA from 1 species